GAGGGUAUAGCUCAGUGGUAGAGCACAUGCUUAGCAUACACGGGGUCCUGGGUUCAAUCCCUGGUACCUCCG
rnacentral:tRNA from 1 species